UCUAGGGGACGUAAGCCUAAGCAGGAUGGCCGUGAGAUGUCUAAGUGUCGCUCCUGGAUAGCUGUCUGCCUGGAUACAGUCCAAUUGAAAUGUAGGUAUGCGGGCAAUAUUAGAAUCCCCCAUAAUAAUGACCGGUUGUCUAAUGGGGAGGGACCAAAUGGAGGCCUUCCGGUUGGUGUAAGGGUGUAAACGGGGCUGGUAGCAAGAAGGGGACCCGGAUUGGUCAUCUACCGAUGAUUCAGAUGGAGAGGGGAGGAGUAAUGGGGGAGAGGAGGGGGAGGAAGAAGAGGAAGAGGUAGGAAGAGGAGAUGGAGCCUGGUGAGACGAUGUGAUGUUCGGUUCUUCCCCUGUUGUGGUAGAUCCAUCUGCAGGAGGGAUCAAAGGAGGUGAAGGAGAACAAGGGUGGAUCUCGGCAAUGAAGGUGAGCAGGUUGGGUUGUUUUUUUGCAUUCUGGUUUGUGUUAUUUAGUUUGACGACUGUUAAAGUGGUCUCCUCCGUCAGAGAAGGCGGUGAGGAGGUCAACAUCAGUGGAGAGGUCAAAGGGCAAAGCUGCCCCUGAGUCGGGUUUCUCCUGCGGGAGAGACGACUGGGUCUGGGGGUUGAACAGUUAAAACAAUGUCGUCCGGAGCCGCCGGUUUGAUGAAGGCUGUGAGGAGUAACCUUGGAAGGAGGAGGCUUCUGUGGUACUGUGUUCUUUCCCUGUUUGGUUUUAUCGAGGAGCUUUGUGAACUCGGCAGGUGACGCUGUUGCCAGCUCUGCAAUGCUUGCCGUGGACCUGACUGUGAGUUCGUUCACCCCUGCGUAUGCACAGGAAGCCGACAAUUUCAAGCCCCGAUUGUAUGCUUUCAGGACCUUCUUGUAUCUUCUUAUCACUUCAAAAGGGCCACGGGCUGCAAGGAGCAAAUCAUAAAGAAAAACUACAUUAUGGACGGUACAUAAAAAUGUGUGUUCACAACAGUGCUAUGAGUUGAAAUGCUUAUUGUAUUGUUAUGUGGCAGCAUACAAGACAAGACAGAAUUCCACCUAGCUCCUUUAAAUAGGUCCACUUUAUGUUAGGGUAGAAUUAAAGGGAUACGUCACCAUUUGGGGAAUUACACCAGUUUCCACUUUCCCUCGAGUUAAGUAGCCUAAUUGAGAUUGACCUUUCUCCAGUUCAUUCAGCCGUUCUGAGUCUGACGGUAGCAUUUUUGGCUCCAGCCAAGCAUAGAUCAUUGAAUCAGAUUAGACCAUUAUCUCGCCCAUUAGCAUCUUGCUCAAACGUAACUAAGAAAUCUGAUAUUUUCCCUGUGUAAUACUUCAGUAAUUACAAAGUGUACCAACAGAGAAUGAACAUGGUGAUCAAUACCGUGGUUUGCACUACUUGACUUAAAGGGAUUAUGCGGAGUGAAUCAACCUGUAGCCCUGUUGUUUCGCAUUGAAAAUGCGAAUGUUGAUUCGCAUUUUCGCAAGUGCUGUCGAUAGGCAUGAGAACGACAGAAUUCCAUGCACGGUAGACCAAAUAGCGAAACGGCAGCCAACGCUAACUACUGAGGGCAUGUGAGUUUCGUUUUCCUAUGCCCGCAUCUGGUCUACGUUGUAACUAUUGCUGUCGUUCUGAUACCUAUUGACAGCACCCGGCAGCCUCAAACAACAGGGCUACGGGUUGAUUCACUCCUGAUAAUCCUUUUAACACAUGGAGGGACUAUUUUCAGAUGUGUCAGCAAAUGUCCUAAUUUACUAUGCUGGAAUGAGAGUAUAGUUCCAUGUUUUAUAGGAAUAGAAAAUCGCCACAUUUCAUUAUCCACUGUCUUUGUACUCUUUGCAACUACAGAAGGAUCAAGUUUUAAUUAGAAUUUUUCUUUGAAUUCUUAGUCACUUUUGAGCAAGAUACUAACAGGCGAGAUGCUAAUGGGCUAAUCUGAUUCAAUAAUCUAUGCUAGGCUGGAGCUUAAAGUACUACUGUCAGACCAAAGUUACUGACCAAGGUAGAGCAACAUAAUACAUUACAAUGGGAGUAGUCUCGCAAAGCCAGACCAAACUACAGCAAGUAGAAUGGUCUGGAACCACGCUAUUUAGAGCCGUCUAUCCGUGGGGAAACUGGGCUGGCCUGUUUUUAUUUCUUUAAACCAAUCAUAAUCGUAGGGGCGGGGCUAACCCCGGGAAGCAGCAGCGGUGCGCAAUACGGGAAAGCCAGAAACCGGAAGGGGAGGAGUAGCGGUGGAAUCUGACGCUAGCGCAAUAGACGCUGUCCAUUUCCGCUCAGCCAGACUACAAUGGGAGUAAACGUGAAUAGUUCCAGUCUGCAUAAGUGGGAGUGUCACAUAACGUCACAAUGUAAACUUUUCAAUUAACUUCUGUAUGAGGUAUGAGGGCUCGACUCUGGGAUUUCCCCCCCUCCCCCUUCUGAAAAUAGAACACAGAAUUUAACAGACAUUUGUGCUUCUCGCUUCACUUUUAACCUCUCUGGUCAAACUCAGAGAAAGGCUGAAUGACCUGGAGAAAGGUCAAUCUCAAAUGUUGAAGACAAGGGGAGGUGGAAAAUGAAUUUGCUCCAUAAAGGAUAGAUUCAACGUUUUACUGGAGUUUUACCUCUUUUGCGGACAUCAGUCACUUUGUGGUGCUUCCUGGCCUUCUUUAUUUUGUUCUUUGUCUUUGAAAGUCUGAGUUUUCCCUUGCCCUUUCGUUUCAUCUUCUCAUCUGAGGAGGAGGAGGAAGAACAGGAGGAGGACCGGCUCAUUGAAGACAAUGAUGAGCAGGAGGCAGUGUCUUCCUCUGAAGAUUGUUCUUCUCUGGGAGCUUUAGACAGGUCUAGACAGUACAAAAAAACAAAGAUUAAACAGAUAUUGCUGAUGCCUUAUACAGAAUACCAUUUCUUCCUUUUUGUUCCAACAAAGGUAAUAUUUUGUGUAAAGUCAAAAUAACCCUAGACCUGGGAUGUGUUACUAUUAGGUGGUUACUAUUAGGUGGUUAAGUGUCGAACCAGGGUAAGUAAAGCUAGAGGUAGUGGUAAAUAUGAUAAUAGAAGAGUCUGGAGUCUCCAUUCUCUUAACUACAGAAAGCCAGCAGGCUACUAUAAGGAGGUUUACCACUUCCUCUAACUUAACUAACCAGGUGUACCACUUAACCUCCUACUUGGAAUAGGUAUAUGUUUGACUGACACUGUAUACAUUUUUGUGUCAUACACCGAAAAUGUAGGCUUGUUGAACCUUACAUGCCAGUUGUUUGCGAAGAGCAUCCCUCUCCUUUAUCACUUUCUGGAGUUUCUUAUCUUGAGACCGCUCUCUCAUCUUGGCCUUUUGGAGGAGAUUCUUCACCGUUGGUGACCGGUCACCUGUCAAAAAACGUCAUUUCAGCAUAGUUGUACAGCUAACACACAGCAAUUUAAUAUUUUUUUUUAACACAGCCUGUUUAUGUUAUAGCAAAUUCGGUAACAAAUACCACGAACAUUGUCUAUCUAGCCAUAACUUUUGAAAGUAAGAGAUUUUGAAAGUAUUGUGCAUCAAAGUUACUGUUAGGAGCAAAAUAUUGCCGUUCUCAUGAAUAGCUUAGAGUAUUUUGGACAUUUAAGUAGUUACUCAGCUGUAAAGUAGCCACUAAGCUGUAAUGUAAUUCAUGCAGAAUAAUAAUUUUUAUACACUAUGACAAGACCUGAGGUGCGUUCAAGUUCAGCGAACAUAGGCGAACGUUCGCAACGAACGCGUUGACCAUAAACAAUUAAUUUUGAACGAUUUUUGAACACCGUUCUAAACAAACUGUAAACGAAAAAAAUGGAUACGAAGGCCAUGGUAUUAGCGGCAGCCUCCAUGUUAAUGGAAGAGUUUACAGAAGAGGGUUUGCAAGUGGUCGACCUCGUUGAAAGCCUACUGCAGACAACCAGUACGGAAAAUUCAAGAAUAGAGGGCUACGUCACCGAAGUUGUACCCACUUACUGCGAUAUAACGUUCAAAUCGCAUUUUAGGAUGCAAAAGACAACAGUUGAAGUAAGGGUGUAGAUAGGCUAUAUGAAACGUUUUAUCUAUUGCUUUCAGUGUAGGA